GCGAGUGUGAGGUAAUUAGUGUGAGCUAACAAGUAGGUGAGUUGUGAGGUGAUGAGUUUGAGGUAACGAGUAGGCGAGUGUGAGGUGACGAGUAGGCAAGUGUGAGGUGAUGAGAAGGCGAGUGUGAGGUGAUGAGUGUAAGGUAACGAGUAGGCAAGUGUGAGGUGAUGAGUGUGAGGUGACGAGUAGGCGAA